rnacentral:rRNA from 1 species
GAUGAACGCUAGCGGCAGGCCUAACACAUGCAAGUCGAGGGAGAGGUUAUCUUCGGGUAACCAAAACCGGCGCACGGGUGCGUAACGCGUAUACAAUCUGCCUUUCACAUAGGGAUAGCCCGAAGAAAUUUGGAUUAAUACCUAAUGGUAUAUAAGAGCGGCAUCGUUUUUAUAUUAAAGCUACGGUGGUGAAAGAUGAGUAUGCGUUCUAUUAGCUAGUUGGAGAGGUAACGGCUCCCCAAGGCGACGAUAGAUAGGGGUUCUGAGAGGGAUGUCCCCCACACUGGUACUGAGAUACGGACCAGACUCCUACGGGAGGCAGCAGUGAGGAAUAUUGGACAAUGGUCGGAAGACUGAUCCAGCCAUGCCGCGUGCAGGAUGAAGGUCCUAUGGAUUGUAAACUGCUUUUGUAAGGGAAGAAUAAGGAGUACGUGUACUUUGAUGACGGUACCUUACGAAUAAGCAUCGGCUAACUCCGUGCCAGCAGCCGCGGUAAUACGGAGGAUGCGAGCGUUAUCCGGGAUCAUUGGGUUUAAAGGGUCCGUAGGCGGGCUGAUAAGUCAGAGGUGAAAGCGCUUAGCUCAACUAAGCAACUGCCUUUGAAACUGUCAGUCUUGAAUGAUUGUGAAGUAGUUGGAAUGUGUAGUGUAGCGGUGAAAUGCUUAGAUAUUACACAGAACACCGAUAGCGAAGGCAUAUUACUAACAAUUUAUUGACGCUGAUGGACGAAAGCGUGGGGAGCGAACAGG